AUGAACGCUGGCGGCGUGCCUAAUACAUGCAAGUCGAGCGAACGGACGAGAAGCUUGCUUCUCUGAUGUUAGCGGCGGACGGGUGAGUAACACGUGGAUAACCUACCUAUAAGACUGGGAUAACUUCGGGAAACCGGAGCUAAUACCGGAUAAUAUUUUGAACCGCAUGGUUCAAAAGUGAAAGACGGUCUUGCUGUCACUUAUAGAUGGAUCCGCGCUGCAUUAGCUAGUUGGUAAGGUAACGGCUUACCAAGGCAACGAUGCAUAGCCGACCUGAGAGGGUGAUCGGCCACACAGGAACUGAGACACGGUCCAGACUCCUACGGGAGGCAGCAGUAGGGAAUCUUCCGCAAUGGGCGAAAGCCUGACGGAGCAACGCCGCGUGAGUGAUGAAGGUCUUCGGAUCGUAAAACUCUGUUAUUAGGGAAGAACAUAUGUGUAAGUAACUGUGCACAUCUUGACGGUACCUAAUCAGAAAGCCACGGCUAACUACGUG
rnacentral:rRNA from 1 species